GACGAACGCUGGCGGCGUGCUUAACACAUGCAAGUCGAACGGAAAGGCCCUGCUCUUGUGGGGUGCUCGAUUGGCGAACGGGUGAGUAACACGUGAGUAACCUGCCCUUGUCUUUGGGAUAACUUCAGGAAACUGGGGCUAAUACCGGAUAGGGGCUCCUGCUGCAUGGUGGGGGUUGGAAAGUUUCGGUGGUUGGGGAUGGACUCGCGGCUUAGCAGCUUGUUGGUGGGUAGUGGCUUACCAAGGCUUUGCCGGGUAGCCGGCCUGAGAGGGUGUCCGGCCACAUUGGGACUGAGAGAGGGCCCAGUAGGCUACGGGCGGCAGCGGGGGGAAAUAUUGCACAGUGGGCGGAAGCCUGAUGCAACAGCGCCGGGAGCGGGAUGACGGCCUUCGGGGUGUAAACCGCUUUCGCCUGUGACGAGGCGGUAGUGACGGUAAUGAGUAAAGAAGCACCGGCUAACUACGUG
rnacentral:rRNA from 1 species